rnacentral:rRNA from 1 species
CCUACGGGAGGCAGCAGUGGGGGAUAUUGGGCAAUGGGCGCAAGCCUGACCCAGCGACGCCGCGUGAGGGAAGAAGGCUUUCGGGUUGUAAACCUCUUUUGUCAGGGACGAAGAAAGUGACGCUUCAUGACGAAGAAGCCACUACCAACUACGUGCCAGCCGCCGCGGUACUACGUAGGGGGCAAGCGUUAUCCGGAUUUACUGGGUGUAAGGGGGGUGUAGGCGGGACUGCAAGUCAGAUGUGAAAGCCAGGGGCUCAACCUGGGGACUGCAGUUGAAACUGUAAGUCUGGAGUGCAGGAGGGGCAGACGGAAUUCCUGGUGUAGCGGUGAAAUGCGUAGAUAUAAGGAAGAACACCAGUGGCGAAGGCGGAUUGCUGGACAGCAACUGACGCUGAGGCGCGAAAGCGUGGGGAGCAAACAGGAUUAGAUACCCGUGUAGUC